rnacentral:rRNA from 1 species
ACGCGAAGAACCUUACCAAAUCUUGACAUCCUUCUGACCGGUCCGUAACGGGAUCUUUCCUUCGGGACAGAAGAGACAGGUGGUGCAUGGUUGUCGUCAGCUCGUGUCGUGAGAUGUUGGGUUAAGUCCCGCAACGAGCGCAACCCUUAUCCCCAGUAGCCAGCAGGUAAAGCUGGGCACUCUGAGGAGACUGCCAGGGAGAACCUGGAGGAAGGCGGGGAUGACGUCAAAUCAUCAUGCCCCUUAUGAUUUGGGCUACACACGUGCUACAAUGGCGUGAACAGAGGGAAGCAGAGCCGCGAGGCCGAGCGAAUCUCAAAAAACGCGUCCCAGUUCGGACUGUAGUCUGCAACCCGACUACACGAAGCUGGAAUCGCUAGUAAUCGCAGAUCAGAAUGCUGCGGUGAAUACGUUCCCGGGUCUUGUACACACCGCCCGUA